ACUGCUAGCCGCUAGCUAAACCGACAGCCUCAAAAUUUUCCAUAGUUCAAAGGUCGUUCAUUGACAAUAUUUUUGCUAAAACAUAAACACCGGCAUGAAGGCUUUUACUGAGUGGAGUUCCGAGUGGAGCCGACGCUAAGACCGAACAACAAGACACAGAGGAAGGCCACUAAUGGACGCCAAAUUAACUUAAAACAAUGACGCUUCGAUUGACGACCAGACACUCAUAAUAUAGGAUGACAUAUCAGUCAGCCUUGUGAAUAUGGAAAACAGUUUCGGUAUUGGCAUUUACAGAAUGCUGCCAUUAUUCUCUACUCAUCAUUGCAUCAAGGAAAGACCUUCUUGGUUGGAUUUCCAAAUUUCAAACAUCUCUCAAAGUUGAAGGAUGGCAGCCUGGACCUUUACACCGGG